UACGUAGGGGGCAAGCGUUUGUCCGGAAUUACUGGGCGUAAAGAGCUCGUAGGUGGUUUGUCGCGUUGUCCGUGAAAACUCACAGCUUAACUGUGGGCGUGCGGGCGAUACGGGCAGACUGGAGUACUGCAGGGGAGACUGGAAUUCCUGGUGUAGCGGUGGAAUGCGCAGAUAUCAGGAGGAACACCGGUGGCGAAGGCGGGUCUCUGGGCAGUAACUGACGCUGAGGAGCGAAAGCGUGGGGAGCGAACAGG
rnacentral:rRNA from 1 species